rnacentral:rRNA from 1 species
GACGAACGCUGGCGGCGUGCUUAACACAUGCAAGUCGAACGGAAAGGCCCUGCUUUUGUGGGGUGCUCGAGUGGCGAACGGGUGAGUAACACGUGAGUAACCUGCCCUUAACUUUGGGAUAACUUCAGGAAACUGGGGCUAAUACCGGAUAGGAGCUCCUGCUGCAUGGUGGGGGUUGGAAAGUUUCGGCGGUUGGGGAUGGACUCGCGGCUUAUCAGCUUGUUGGUGGGGUAGUGGCUUACCAAGGCUUUGACGGGUAGCCGGCCUGAGAGGGUGACCGGCCACAUUGGGACUGAGAUACGGCCCAGACUCCUACGGGAGGCAGCAGUGGGGAAUAUUGCACAAUGGGCGGAAGCCUGAUGCAGCAACGCCGCGUGCGGGAUGACGGCCUUCGGGUUGGAAACCGCUUUCGCCUGUGACGAAGCGUGAGUGACGGUAAUGGGUAAAGAAGCACCGGCUAACUACGUG